rnacentral:lncRNA from 1 species
CUUUUAAUUUAAGUAUGGUUAACAAUAUCUGGACUACAGGUUGCAGCCAUGGAAAGGAGGAAAGCAAAACUUAACAACAAUUUUGUUCAAUCUUUAUCACUUGAUCAAAGUCCAUUCAGGAACGUUUUAAGAGAAUCUACCUGACUAGACACUUUCUAAGGUCCAAGAGUCACAAUUUCAAUGGGUAGAGAGUGUUACAAAGAUUUGGACUGAUGUUCAUAUUUGCCUUAGUGAGAAGAAAAGGCUCAAAUGGAUCUAGUUGUGGUCCUGUACUCUGCCUCUCCUCUUUGCUUCUCCUUUCCCUCUAGAAACUGACUUAUAUGAAGGGGAAGCUCCCUCCUGGCCCACUACUCUCCCAAUUAUUGGAAAUAUCCUAUUAGUAACAAUUAAGGACAUCAGAAAAUCCUUAAGCAAUGAGUCAUUUUCAGCAAUGGAAAGACAUGGAGGGAUCUCCAAUGCUUCUCCCUCAUGACCCCGAGGAAUUUUGGGAUGGGGAAGAGGAGCAUUGAGGACUGCGGUCAGGAGGAAGUUCACUGGUGGAGGAGCUGAAAAAAAACAAGGAUUGGUGAGUCUUUAUGCUGUAUCACUGACCUUCUCAAAAUGCCCUCUUGUCUAAUGACAAAUCUGGAGAG